GUGCAACCAGGCACAGAGGUUCCAGAGCCUGGGAGGUCCUUGGGAAGAGCUCUGCUCAACUCUUGCUGCAUUGCUGUGAAUGGGCCACAAGUAAUGCUUCCCUGUUUGGCUGCAAGAGCCUUAGCACAGCAAAUGGUGGGGGCAGGAAAGGCAUUUCCCAGCACAAACAUGAUUCAGUUCCUCUUGCUCUCGCAACCUCCCAGUCUGGCAAGAUGCUCUGGGGAUGGGAGCAGGAACUGUCUGUGCUUGUUCAUGGGAAAUUUGCUGGGCUCUGAGCCUGCCGUGCCGGCCUGAGUGUGAAUGUGCCCACAGCAGCAGCCUGGCCUGUCCUCACUCCACCAGGAAAUGGUGAAUGUCGCAAGGAAAACAGAGGCCCCAACUCCAGAGGAUUCUGCUGGAGUCUGCUGUGGUUGCACUUCAGUUGAGAGAAAGGAAUCCAGCUCUGCUGUGCCUCUUCUCAAGUCUCAUCUCCAGCAAUACCUCCUGUCCUUGCCAGAUGAGCCGCAGGUGCAGACCGGCAAUCACAACAGUUGUCACUUGGUGGAGCCAGAUUUCUCUGCAAAUGGAAAACGCCUUAAGAGUGGAAAAGUUCUCCAAGUCACGAUUUUUAAACAGAUUGGAGAAAGAAAGAUGGGAAUCAGAGGACUUAAAUGUUUUGAGAAAUCAAAAUUUUUACAAUUUUGCUCUUAGUUACUCUGUCAUAGCCUUGCCAGCUGAGGAAACCAUCACUAUCAUGCAUUGAAAUAGGACAAAAAUGAAGCUGAGAUACAUUUGGGAAUAUAUGCACAAACAUGUAAGAUGCAACCAAAAGCUGUCACUUUUUGGUUUUGCACAGUUUAAACAAGUUCAGAAUGUUGAUGCUAAACUGUUGCUAAACUGAUGCUAAACUGAUGAGAUCCUUCUACUGAUGAUAGGUUUUUAAAAUGUAUCUUCCAUUUUUUCACAUUUCUAUCAGUUUCUCUUAAUGCAAGUAAGAAAGGACAGAAUGUAUUUAUAGUAUAACAGACAGAACAUCCCAAGAGGAAAAAAUGAGAGGAUGCAAAACUAUAAACACCUUCUCUACACUGUGCUCACAUUAGCAUGUUUCUUUUCCUGACCACCUGUAAUGGACAUAUUAAUUAAAGAAGUGUGAUUAAGUAAAAGCUUAUUUGGCUUCUGAUUUUGUGUUACAUUUAUUAUAAUUUCUGUAACAGCUCAGGGAACUUGUAUUACUCUCUGCCAUCUUGCUUUUCAAUUAUCUGAAGUUUUUACCAAGAUCAUAAAAUCACAGAAUGGCCUGGGUUGAAC
rnacentral:lncRNA from 1 species